CCUGACUAUUUGUUUCCGUUUGAAGAGAUACUCUGAUUGGUUAAGAGGACACAGACUGUGAGACUGGUUUGCGUUGGGUCCGGUCUUGAUUUUGUUCAAAUUUCUGCUCGACUUAGAUGUUUUUUUUGCUUUCUUAUCGAAACAUUUUUAUAGCUGAUUAUGUGAAGGAGUUAGGAGAAUUGAAUAUGGGUUUAUCGAAAAGGUGAUUAUUGUUCCAAUCAAAUAUAUUUAGGUGACUAUCGGCAUCAUUGAUAAGUAUAGAUAUAGUUUGUGGG